rnacentral:tRNA from 1 species
GGGGAAUUAGCUCAAAUGGUAGAGCGCUGGCUUAGCAUGCAAGAGGUAGCGGGAUCGAUAUCCGCAUUCUCCA